GACGAACGCUGGCGGCGUGCUUAACACAUGCAAGUCGAACGGAAAGGCCCUGCUUUUGUGGGGUGCUCGAGUGGCUAACGGGUGAGUAACACGUGAGUAACCUUCCCUUGACUUUGGGAUAACUUCAGGAAACUGGGGCUAAUACCGGCUAGUAGCUCCUUCUGCAUGGUGGGGGUUGGAAAGUUUCGGCGGUUGGGGAUGGACUCGCGGCUUAUCAGCUUGUUGGUGGGGUAGUGGCUUACCAAGGCUUUGACGGGUAGCCGGCCUGAGAGGGUGACCGGCCACAUUGGGACUGAGAUACGGCCCAGAAUCCUACGGGAGGCAGCAGUGGGGAAUAUUGCACAAUGGGCGGAAGCCUGAUGAAGCAACGCCGCGUGCGGGAUGACGGCCUUCGGGUUGUAAACCGCUUUCGCCUGUGACGAAGCGUGAGUGACGGUAAUGGGUAAAGAAGCACCGGCUAACUACGUG
rnacentral:rRNA from 1 species